GGUCCACCCCUCGGCAAUGGUUCUUGUAUAACUGAGCCUUCAACUUUCCAGACAAGUCUCUUCUUUUCCAAUUCUGUUCUUUCUUGAUUGGCAGAUAGGCUCAUUUCUGUCACUUUGUGAAUCUUCUUGCCAGGAAACAACUUCUUCAGUUCUACACUUGUCAUCACAGAAUAAUUAUUGUCCUCUCCAAUCUGCACAUUAUUUCAUGAAUCCGAGCAAAUAGACAUUUCAAAAUCAAAACGAAUAUAUGGAGUUUAGACAUUCAAAUAGAUGGACAGAUAAAUGAAUAAUCAAUCCUGUCAAAUGUUUGCUAAUACUGUCAUUGAAAUCAUGAAUGUGCAAUCAUGUUCAUACAAGACACAGAAGAGUGAAAAAGAGAGAUUCUUCAUAGAGAAUACUGCUUGUUUCAGCCGUUUCUCAGUUGGUGUUGAAUUAAUGAGCAACACAAUAUCAAUAACAGCAAGUUGCUGGCUAUAUCAUUUUGAUAUUCAAGUAUGAUAUGCCUAUAGUCCCAUAAAACUACAUUAGAAAAUUUGACUUCGUUGUCUUGCAAAGAAAUGGCUGAAAUUCUACCAAAGAUCUAGCAAUAUUGACUAUUAAAACAAAAAUUUUAAGUUGAGUGAUUUUGAUGAUACAAUUUGAAAUUUAUCGGCCAUGUUGAAAUUGAUGAUAAGUUUGAUGGCCAUCAGUGAAAUCAAACUGCCGAAUUACGCUCAGAUGAUGACAGUAUGUAAUUUAAAUAAAGAUGAAAAAAUGAUGUACAGAUUCCUAAAAUCUCAUCAAUAAAAGAGGUGCAUCAAACACAAACAAGAUUAGAGUGCGAUAGAAUUAAAACCUGAUAUAAGUGUGCUAAACGAAGUAGAACUUUUCCAUUAUCAAGCUCCUGCAUAUUUCAGGAGAAAGAGAGGACUAUUAGCAAGGAAGAUACACUGAUUCAGAAAAGAAAGGGCCAACACCAAACAACUAAUUAGUUAUUGCUUUCAAGCCAUACUAUGGAGCAGCUGUUUAUUAAGGUACUACAUUCAGGUAAAAUUGCCGUUCCUUGUCCUACCAAGUCAAGUAUGCAAGGGAAUAAGGAAACAAUAAACAAUAAUGCCUUUCACAACAAUAAGGCCCCAUCUACCUGGAGAGUUAUAACUGCAACAGUAUCAGGUAAACUAUAGGAGGAAUCAAUGCCUGAGAAAGUGGUUACAUGAGAAUUCAACCAGUUAUCUCCAUCCUCU
rnacentral:misc_RNA from 1 species